UGGGGAAUAUUGCACAAUGGGCGCAAGCCUGAUGCAGCCAUGCCGCGUGUAUGAAGAAGGCCUUCGGGUUGUAAAGUACUUUCAGCGGGGAGGAAGGGAGUAAAGUUAAUACCUUUGCUCAUUGACGUUACCCGCAGAAGAAGCACCGGCUAACUCCGUGCCAGCAGCCGCGGUAAUACGGAUGGUGCAAGCGUUAAUCGGAAUUACUGGGCGUAAAGCGCACGCAGGCGGUUUGUUAAGUCAGAUGUGAAAUCCCCGGGCUCAACCUGGGAACUGCAUCUGAUACUGGCAAGCUUGAGUCUCGUAGAGGGGGGUAGAAUUCCAGGUGUAGCGGUGAAAUGCGUAGAGAUCUGGAGGAAUACCGGUGGCGAAGGCGGCCCCCUGGACGAAGACUGACGCUCAGGUGCGAAAGCGUGGGGAGCAAACAGGAUUAGAUACCCUGGUAGUCCACGCCGUAAACGAUGUCGACUUGGAGGUUGUGCCCUUGAGGCGUGGCUUCCGGAGCUAACGCGUUAAGUCGACCGCCUGGGGAGUACGGCCGCAAGGUUA
rnacentral:rRNA from 1 species